GUACCCAACCAAUACAGAAAACUUGUCCCUAUCAAGGGACACAGCAAAAACAAGAAAAACCCAUACAUCUUGGUCCACGAGUGAAUAUGAGGUUGGAUUCUGGAAUACGUGUCGUGCGAGAGAUCCUUCAUGGGUCUACUCAUAGAUAAAUUUCUCAUUUUGGUAAUUUCUUUGGCGUUUCCAUAAAUGAAUCUGUAGGAAGGGCC
rnacentral:misc_RNA from 1 species